rnacentral:rRNA from 1 species
ACGGGGUGCAGCAGGCGCGAAACCUCCGCAAUACACGAAAGUGUGACGGGGUUACCCAAAGUGUUCUAUUUAGAACUGUGGUAGGUGAGUAAUGUCCCCUACUAGAAAGGAGAGGGCAAGGCUGGUGCCAGCCGCCGCGGUAAAACCAGCUCUUCAAGUGGUCGGGAUAAUUAUUGGGCUUAAAGUGUCCGUAGCCGGUUUAGUAAGUUCCUGGUAAAAUCGGGUAGCUUAACUAUCUAUAUGCUAGGAAUACUGCUAUACUAGAGGGCGGGAGAGGUCUGAGGUACUACAGGGGUAGGGGUGAAAUCUUAUAAUCCUUGUAGGACCACCAGUGGCGAAGGCGUCAGACUGGAACGCGCCUGACGGUGAGGGACGAAAGCCAGGGGAGCGAACCGGAUUAGAUACCCGGGUAGUCCUGGCCGUAAACGAUGCAUACUAGGUGAUGGCACGGCCAUGAGCCGUGUCAGUGCCGUAGGGAAACCGUUAAGUGUGCCGCCUGGGAAGUACGUCGCAAG